CCUCCGGGAGGCAGCAGGAGGGAAUCUGGAGCAAUGGGAGAAAGAAGGAAGCAGAAAAGACGAGGGAAAGAGACGCCCUUCGGGGUGUAAAGUUCUGUCAGUGGGGACGAAAAAUGACGGUACCCACAGAGGAAGCACCGGCUAACUCCGUGCCAGCAGCCGCGGUAAUACGGAGGGUGCAAGCGUUGUCCGGAAUCAUUGGGCGUAAAGAGUUCGUAGGCGGCAUGUAAAGUCAGGUGUUAAAGGCGCAGGCUCAACCUGUGUAUGGCACUUGAUACUUGCAAGCUGGAAUGCGGUAGAGGUAAAGGGAAUUCCUGGUGUAGCGGUGAAAUGCUUAGAUAUCAGGAGGAACAUCGGUGGCGUAAGCGCUUUACUGGGCCGUAAUUGACGCUGAGGAACGAAAGCCAGGGUAGCAAAUGGGAUUAGAUACCCCGGUAGUC
rnacentral:rRNA from 1 species